GCCAGGCGCGGUGGCGCGUGCCUGUAGUCCCGUCUACUUGGGAGGCUGAGGCUGGAGAAUCUCUUGAGUCCAGGAGUUUUGGGCUGUAGUGCAGUAUGCCGAUCGGGUGUCCGCACUAAGUUCGGCAUCAGUAUGGUGACCUCCUGGAAGUGGGGGAACACCAGGUUGCCUAAGGAGGGGUGAACCAGCCCAGGUCGGAAACGGAGCAGGUAAAAACUCCCAUGCUGAUCAGUAGUGGGAUCGUGCCUGUGAAUAGCCACUGCACUGUAGCCUGGGCAACAUAGCGAGACCCCGUCUCU
rnacentral:SRP_RNA from 1 species